AACUUCUGAAAUAUAUAAAUUGCAGAAGUGGGAACAACACUGUAACCAUGAUGAUAUAAGUUGUAUUGUAAGUUCAGAGUAAAGGGAUGGGACUAAUAAGUUUAUACUUCUUCCCAUUCCUUUUUGAAUAUAGCCUGUAUAUGCUUUGUA